rnacentral:lncRNA from 1 species
GCACUUCCGGCGUGCAGAGCUGCCUGCAGUCGACUGUUUGAAGCUUCGCAGUGUUCCCGGGCGAGAUGCAUCCUCAUCUUCAGUUCGGCGCCCAGUUGACCUUGGGGACGACUAUUAGGACCAGAGCUCUGGAUUCCCAAAGCCUCAGGACCUAACUGAUAUCAGGCACUAUGCUCAUUCUACAAAGAGAUCAUGUUUGCAGAGUACUGACCACCAUCCAGGAAGAGAAGCUUUGUUUCUGAUGAGGCCUUUCCGGGGAUGGGAUCACCAAGGCAGAGCUCAGCACUUCCUGAGAAUGCCAGCAUCCUCAAGAACAAAGCUAGUGAAGCUAAGAAGCAACGAUUGAGAGCGCCUCACAGAGCCUCUCCCACUAGACUGAGACCUUCUUUUUCCUGUUUGGAGUUUUGGCUGCAUGUGCCUGUGCAUUGUGUGUGCAAUGUUCAUGGAGGCCAGAAGAGAGCAUCAGAUCGCCUAGAACUGCAGUUACAUAUGGUUGAUGAGCUGGGACUCAAACCUUGGUCUUCUGGAAGAGCAGCUAGUACACAUAACUACAGAGCCUUCUCUUCAGGACCACACUAAGGGCUAUUUUUCUUUCUUUCUUUUUUUUUUUAGAACCUACUUCUGACCUACUGAAAGCUACAACUGCAAACAUAUGCACUGAGUGUCAUUAACACUGUUUCUUGAGGGGGAGUACGGUUCUGAGUGAAUCUGAAUGUGGGAAAUGAGGGAGAGAUGAUAUCUGAAAACCUCUGUAAGUUGCCUCAUGCUGCCUAAUAAAGAAUGAAUAAAGUAAG